AAGAGAAAAAGAAUAUUUUAUUUAAUGUAACAUCUUAUAAAAUUCUUUGUGUCAUUUUAUUCCCUCUCUUCUCUUCAUUUCUUUUCAUUUCUUUUUACAAAGGGG
rnacentral:ribozyme from 13 species